rnacentral:rRNA from 1 species
GUGGGGAAUAUUGGACAAUGGGGGCUACCCUGAUCCAGCCAUGCCGCGUGAGUGAUGACGGCCUUCGGGUUGUAAAGCUCUUUUACAUGGGAAGAUAAUGACGGUACCAUGAGAAUAAGCACCGGCAAACUUCGUGCCAGCAGCCGCGGUAAUACGAAGGGUGCAAGCGUUGUUCGGAAUUACUGGGUGUAAAGGGCGUGUAGGCGGAUUAGUUAGUUAGUGGUGAAAUCCUUGGGCUCAACCUGAGAACUGCCAUUGAUACAGCUAGUCUGGAGUAUUAGAGAGGAUGACGGAAUAUCCAGUGUAGAGGUGAAAUUCGUAGAUAUUGGAUAGAACACCGGUGGCGAAGGCGGUCAUCUGGCUAAUUACUGACGCUGAGGCGCGAGAGCGUGGGGAGCAAACAGGAUUAGAAACCCUUGUAGUCC